UACGGAGGGAGCUAGCGUUGUUCGGAAUUACUGGGCGUAAAGCGCACGUAGGCGGCUUUGUAAGUUAGAGGUGAAAGCCCGGGGCUUAACCCCGGAAUUGCCUUUAAGACUGCAUCGCUUGAAUCCGGGAGAGGUGAGUGGAAUUCCGAGUGUAGAGGUGAAAUUCGUAGAUAUUCGGAAGAACACCAGUGGCGAAGGCGGCUCACUGGACCGGUAUUGACGCUGAGGUGCGAAAGCGUGGGGAGCAAACAGGG
rnacentral:rRNA from 1 species